rnacentral:rRNA from 1 species
UACGUAGGGUGCAAGCGUUGUCCGGAAUCAUUGGGCGUAAAGAGCGCGUAGGCGGCCCUGUAAGUCCGCUGUGAAAGUCAAGGGCUCAACCCUUGGAUGCCGGUGGAUACUGCAGGGCUAGAGUCCGGAAGAGGCGAGUGGAAUUCCUGGUGUAGCGGUGAAAUGCGCAGAUAUCAGGAGGAACACCGAUGGCGAAGGCAGCUCGCUGGGACGGUACUGACGCUGAGGCACGAAAGCGUGGGGAGCAAACAGG